GCCUCCCAGUUAAUGAGGUGUGUGAGUGAGAGGAGCUGGGAGCAAGAGGCUCAAUGAGCUGAGUGCUGUGCUAAGCUAAGGAGUACAAGCAUUAUCAGACACCAGGAGGAAGGUCCUGUGCUCUAGCAGUGCAUGAAGGAGAGGAGACCAAGGUGAUGCUGCUGUGAAUGAGACUAGUGCCUGCACACUAAGCCCCAGCCCGGAGUCUGAAAAGACGGUACAACGAAGAAGCCUGGCACCUUGCUCCCCUCCACAGCUGCCCAGAGUAAGCCUGCUCCUUCCAUGCCUACUAGAGUCGACCCACUCCUGCACCCUACCACCUACAGCAGCCAAGGAGACCCACCCAUCUCAAAAACAAAGAGGGGACACAUUCUCCAACUGACCAGCAAGCCCAGAACCAGCAUUGAUCUGCUUCCCACCUGAACAACCACAAUGUGAAGCCACGGGACUCUGACCUGUCAUGAAGAAGGAGAUGCCAGCAGGAGUGAUACUGAAGACAAGAAAAGAUCAAAGCAGACCAAAGCCUCCCAGCCCUCAGCACACGUGGUGAAUAAGCACAGGAAGCAGAAUCUCUAAUAGAUAUGCACAGUGGAUCAACAAGUUUUGAUGGCUUUCAAAACUAACUCUGACCUUGACAAUAUGUUGUGGUCCUACUUAAAAGCCACCUGGCUGAAAUGUAAAACAUGCUGCCAUACUUGUAUUUGUUGCUAAUGUAGGUGCAUAUUGCUGACUAAACACUACUGAGCACAGGACUGGAGGUUCAGGAACUUGAUCAUUCUGAUCGGAGUUUAGAUACUGAUUCCCUCUAUAACCUUAGCAAGUCAUUUAACCUAUGUGUUUUAGUUUAGCAUUCUAUGAAAUAGGUAUGGUCAUAUGGGACUUACUUACUUUACAAGCCAGGACUGUGAAGAUCCAGUAGUUCUUCUUUGUAAAAUGUAAUUAAGAAGCUAAGGGUUUGUAUCUCAUUCUCAUUAGUCUCCAAGACAGAAUAAAAAGUAAUCUAAGGUGCUGCAGAGAAAAUAUAGGUUAUAUAUUUAAAAAAAAACACCGCCUGACUAGAAGAAACAUUUUGUCAGUAGAGCAAAAUGCAGAUUCCCCCUCCACAGAGAUGUUUGAGGGUAGAUUUGGAACAUGCCUAUCAGAAAUGAGUUAAAUCAAUCUUGCCACAAUGUAGGGAGAUGAACUAGAUGACUCAUGACAUCACAAUCCCUACCCACACUAAUCAUGCUAUUGCAGAACUGAUUUCUUUGGUGGCAUGACCUGCAGGUAUGGUGGUUUGCCUAAUGGGAAGGCAAGAUUUGCCUAAUGGAAAGUAAUCUGUUUGCAGUCUUUUCCCUUUAAAAUUCCUUUCUUGCAGGAAAGGAAGAGUCUCCCCCAUGUCUCCACCCCCGAACUUCCUGUUCUGUGCAAUUUACCCUGAUGGGAAGGAAGAAUUUGUAAAGGGUCAUGCUGGUAUUUCCCUUGAUUACACGUCUGAAAGAGUAACUGGUUGUUUGCACAGUGGGUGACAUGGAAUUCCUGUGAUACUGUUUUAGCAAUGCCAGCAGUUUCCUCUUCCAUAAAGAUGGGUUUUGGACUGUAAAAAUGGCCCAAAGGCCCUAGAGAAGUUGAACUGACAUUUGAAAUAUUACCAGCUAUAGAUAGAAGUGAGAAAACCCCUCCUAAGCAAUGCCCUAGUAUACAAGUGACUUCAAUUCCUGCACUAUGUAGGGAAGAAAUCUGCUCAUACGAUAUGCAUAGCAGGGAAUAUCUGUCAUCUAUAUGCAGGGGUCACAUUUCAAAUAACAGGGGCAACCUUGAUUAAAGCCAGGACUUAAACCAUUGGAACAAAUAUAGUUUUUUACAUUAGCGCAUUCCAGGCCUAAUUUAGGAGAUUAUGUCACUGGAUAUUUUCACUGAAUUGUCUCAAAUAAAAUCUUAAAGCCUUCUAGUUAUUACCAUGGUGAUGUUGCGCCAACUCUGCAGUGAAAUUAUCCAGAGCCUUUUAUGAUCAGAAUUGUGAGGGAUGAAAUGCCCAUUCUGGAUGAAGUGAAGCCAGGUUACUCUAAUGCUGAACUUUGUUUAUGAAGUUGUGUGGUCUGUUUGUGUCCUGGGAGAAUGUUUAGUUGCAGAUUUAAAAUCAAUUGCACUUUUGCAGAGCCUCUGGUGCCCAUUGUGCACAUGUUGGUAAGGCAGGUCAAAGAUACCUUGGUGUAUACAAAAGGGGAAAUGCUCUCCUUUCCAAUUGGAACAGCGCUUU